UAACAUGUAAAGACAGUAUUUUCCCAAGAGCUUCUCUGCUUCACAAUCUUGGUAAGACGAGUUCCUCCAUAACCAAAAAGCUUCCAUUUUUACACACACACACACACAAAAAAAAAAUAAAAAAAUGAAGCUCUCACUGAAACUCCAAGAACAACCUCAAUCCCUAAACAACCACCAAAAACAACCACAAAGCAACCCACUUCUCAUCCGUGCCAAAAUCCCUAUUUCCAUUUUUAACCUUCCUUUCCUUUCUUGUUUUUCCACCACCACUCACCACCCUUCGGAUCUCUCUCUUUCACUUGCCACCUGUUUCCCUUCUGGUCCCACACUUAAACUAGCUUACUCCACUAACCCCACCACCCCACCCAACCCCACCACCCCUACUGCCCUUCCUUUAACCCUUACCCUCAAAUCUGGAAUUGGUGUUUUUGGUUCUACCAAGAACUCACCUUUAGUCAUUUCUGCUAACUUUAACUUUUCACCUGUUCAACCUUAUCAAAAUCCCACUUUUACCCUUCUUUUUAAACCCCAGUUGGGUUCUUUUUCGCUUCGAAAAAGCACUACUUCUGACCUGAAUUGUGGUUCUAGUGGUGUUGAUAAGCAGAAUGGUGAUGGGAAUUCAUUAGGGUUUGUUCCUUUAGAAAGGCCAAUGAGUUUUAAGGACUUUUCAAUGGAGGAUUAUGCUAAAGAUUCAGUCUUUAAAGGGAUCGCUGUAAUGGCGAAAACGGAGAUGCCUUUAACGAAAAGGGUUAUGAUGGAUUGUCGUUGGGGUGUGAAUUUCCCUAAAGAUUUGGGGAAUAGGAUGCCUUUUUUGAAUGUUAAUAAGAUUGGGAUUAAGAGAGUUGAUGAAGUUAAGGAGGUGAAGGAGAAGAAAGAUGAUAGUUUAGGCGAUACUGAGUUGUUGAAAGGUAUGUGUUUUUGGAUGAAAAAGGAGUUGGAAAUGCUGCAAAGAGAGAAUAGAGAGAUGAAACAUAGGUUGGAUGAAAUGAAUAUGGGGAAUGUUGCUAGGAAGAAUGUUAAUGAGGGGGAGUUUUUAGGUGGGCAAGUGGCUGAGAAUUCGGGUGGAUUUGAGCAGUGGAGGAAUAAGAAGAAUAGUGGGGGAGAGAAUGGGAAGAAAGAAGUGAAGAAGAACACUGCUUCCAAUGGGAAUCGAGCUAGUGAUGUUGAGAGUGAGUUGCAGAAAGCUAUUAAGGCUGCUUCUUCGACAUGAGGGACAAUCCAUGUAUAGGUUUUCUGUGCCAAACAACAUUGCUAGAAAUCCCUUCCCAAACAUGUCCACGACACUCCGUUCAUCGGAAAGAUUCCUGUAUUCGUCCUGCUACUGUAUUAUAUGCCAUGAUUGCCCCUAUACUAGAACUAAAAGGACUUGGUAAGAUCUGGAUUGCAUCUCACUAGUACUCACUCUACCUGCCUUACUUAAGUGCGUAGUUCAAAUCUCAUCUAGUGCUUUAAACUCUUCUAACAUGUUCCUUUUCCCCUAUUGACAAGCUGACUCCUUCCUCUUCUCCGAAAAGCUCUCAAGAAAAAAGAUGAUGUAGAUAGAUAUAUGAAUGCCUUAAUGCAACAUAUUGUUACUCCUAUAAAAUAAUAAGUCAGAUACCAAGAAGAUGACUAAAUCGACUGAGGCAUAAGACAUGAUAAUUUAAAGUUCUUGUAUUUGAAUUGAUUACCAACAUCCAGGAUGAGUUUUUAUGCUAUGCUCCUAUCUUGUGAACAGGUUUAUUGGGCACUUUUGAGAUGUAGUAAGUUGUGCAGUAGAUUAAACGAGGUGUAUGUAAGUUGAUCUAGUCACUAGCAUCUUAAAAAUUAAAACGGAAAGUAAGAAAAUUUACUGGCUUGAACACCAGAGGGAUUGUGCUUGUCCAUUUUGUUUCUCUUAGGUGUAAUGACUCUUGAUUACGAAUUUGGGUAUUCAUGGUCGAGUUUUGCUUAGAAGGAAAUCAAAUAAAUUAAGUUAAAUAUAUACUUGAACCAAAUCAAAUAGAAGUUCUUGUUUUGACGGGUGUUUCGGUAUCUAUAUAAUAUUUUUGAAGACUAAAGUAAAAUAAACUUGCGUGCUAAAGCUUAAAAAUUUGAGUGCCCUAGUGAAACGAAGAAAAAGAAGAAUAAGAUUGAUGUAAAUGUUAAUGCAAGCAGAGUGAUGAAGAAGAAAUUAGAAGAGAGGAAAAGGACUACAAAUUAGUUGGAACAAACAAAACAUAAAACACCAGGUUGUAAAUAGAAAAACUAAACUAUUUUAAAAGAGAAAAUUAAGACAAUGUACAUACUUUCGCAAGAACAUGAGAACGAACUCAGUCAUAUAAACCACACUAGGUAAGCCCCGUGCGAGCUCAGAUUGAGAAGGUUGUUUGCGAGGGGAAUUGAUUCCAGUCACUUGCUGAACCAACUCAGCCACCAUUCAGGUUAUCGACAUGGUUGUUGUGUCAUCUAAACCGUUGCUUUAAGAUGAUGUCCAUGUGGUGCCAUGUCAUCAUAUCCGCCAUCUUAUCAACGGCCACGUGCAGUUCACCUCAACAUACCGUUAAGUAAUGUUCUUUCCACAUGGCUUUUUGGAAAAGAUAACUGCACAAAAUUCUAUUCUAAUCUAAGAUAGUUCAUCCGCCAAUGCUUAUUACUAACUAUAGGCGGUGAUAUUCAACUUAAUAUCAUCCAUGUAUUUGCCAGUGUUUUAACAAUAAUACGUUUAUUCAAACCAUUAUUUGUGACCCUUGUUGUUGUGACUUGUGAUUAAAACUCAAACCAAACAAAACCUUAACCGGACAAACCGAUACUGAAAAGAGAAGAACCGGACUGUAUGAACUUAAUUAAUUCGUGAUGGAAAUGAUUUGAUAUGAAGUUACACAUCAAUUCCUUAAUCAUUUUCACAAUCCAUAUUUAUUGAUAAGGGAUUCGAUUUGAUGUUCUGAACUUAAUCUGGGAUAUACAUAUGGACCAACAAAAGUGUUAGAAAAAAGAAAUAUAAAAUAUGAUCAACUUACAUACUAGACAAAAUGGUAGAACACAUUCUUUGGUCCAACCUUUUUAACCAAAACUAUACAAAUUAUACUACUGUAGACUUUGUUUUUGGAUGAAAAAGGAGUUAGAAAUGCUGCAAAGAGAGAAUAGAGAGAUGAAAAAUAGGUUGGAUGAAAUGAAUAUGGGGAAUGUUGUUAGGAAAGGUGUUAAUGAGGGAGAGUUUUUAGGUGUUCAAGUGGAUAGAGCUAGUGAUGUUGAGAGUGAGUUGCAGAAAGCUAUUAUGGCUGCUUCUUCGACAUGAGGGACAAUCCAUGUAUACGUAUUCUGUGCCAAACAGCACUGCUGGAAUUCCCUUCGCAACAUGUCCACGACACUGCGUUCAUCGGUAACAUUCCUUUAUUCGUCCUGCAACUGUAUAUGCCAUGAUUGGCCCUAUACAAGAACUAAAAGGAUUUAGUAAGAUCUGGAUUGCAUCUCACUAGUUCUCACUCUACAUGCUUUACUUAGUGAAGAUCCCUCAAAGCUCCCUUGGUCUUAUUCCGGACUGCCCAUGCAUCUCUAUGGAAGAUAACUUGGAACUCCAACAACCUUUUCUUGAAGUAGAGGUUCUUGCAGUCUUGAAAGAAUGUGAAGGAGAUAAAUCGCCAGGGCCAGAUGGUUUCACGAUGGGUUUUUAUCAAAAGUGCUGGAGUGUCAUAAGAAUUGAUUUCCUUAAUGCCUUGAAUUAUUUUCAUGCAAAAGAACAUUUCCUUAGGAGUAUCAAUGCUACUUUUAUUACUCAUUCCUAAAAAAGUGGGGGCUAAGGAAGUUCGUGAUUUCAGACCUAUCAAUCUUGUGGGUAGCUUUUAUAAGAUUCUCUCCAAAGUCUUGGCAGACAGGCUAAAGAAGAUUACAGGGAAACUCAUCUCUCCUCACCAAUUAGCAUUCACUAAGGGGCGACAGAUCACUGAUGCAACCCUUAUAGCGAAUGAACGUUUACCCCCUGUUUGGAUGGUGGUUUCUCGUGGUUCAUUAAUGUUUGGUUUUCUAUGAAACCAUGUUUGUUUU